rfam:Danio rerio chromosome 4, GRCz11 reference primary assembly.
UCCCUGGUGGUCUAGUGGUUAGGAUUAGGCGCUCUCACUGCCGCGGCCCGGGUUCGAUUCCCGGUCAGGGAA